rnacentral:rRNA from 1 species
UACGGAGGGUGCAAACGUUGCUCGGAAUCAUUGGGCGUAAAGCGCACGUAGGCGGCCUAUUAAGUCGGAUGUGAAAGCCCCGGGCUCAACCCGGGAAGUGCAUACGAAACUGGUAGGCUUGAAUAUGGAAGAGGGUCGCGGAAUUCCCGGUGUAGAGGUGAAAUUCGUAGAUAUCGGGAGGAACACCGGUGGCGAAGGCGGCGACCUGGUUCGAUACUGACACUGAGGUGCGAAAGCGUGGGGAGCAAACAGG